UUUAACUGAAGAGUUUGAUCAUGGCUCAGAUUGAACGCUGGCGGCAGGCUUAACACAUGCAAGUCGAGCGGUAACAGGGGAGCUUGCUCCUGCUGACGAGCGGCGGACGGGUGAGUAACGCGUAGGAAUCUACCUAGUAGAGGGGGACAACAUGUGGAAACGCAUGCUAAUACCGCAUACGCCCUAAGGGGGAAAGGAGGGGACUUUUCGGAGCCUUCCGCUAUUAGAUGAGCCUGCGUAAGAUUAGCUAGUUGGUAGGGU
rnacentral:rRNA from 1 species